AGAGUAUACAGGGCACAACUGUAGCCAACUGUCUAACUGAAGAUCACGCCUGGUAUUUCUCAGUUUGCAUGGAUUAUGAGUGGGGAAAGCAAGGAUUUCCCAGUUUACUGCAGAAGCUGAUGUCAUCCAGACAGACAGGGAACCAGGGAGAAGAGCAGAGUGAGGAAAGCAGAAGGGAUGACAGGGACAGUGACCUGGAGGCAGGAGCUAACCUGUGAGCCAAGAGACUCCUGAGUUAUGGGAUCUCUCUGGUGACCCACUUCCAUCGCUCUGUAGGCCACUAGGAGUACAGUGGAUUGAAUGUACUUGGCUCAGGGAGUGGCACUAUUAAGAGAAAACAAAGAGAACAAAGAAACCAACCAAACAAACCAGAAUAAUAAACAGUGUCUGGAAGGUACUGUUUUCUUGUUGUCUUCCCUCUCCUCUGGCUCUCACAAUUUUCCUACGUCCUCUUCAACAUAGCUCCCUGACCCCCUGGAAAGAGGUUUGAUGUAGACAACCCAUCCAGGACUGAGUUUUCCAAGGUCUCUCACUCUGCACACUGUCCAGCUGUGGAUCUCUGAUGUUCCCAUCUGCUAUAAGAUGAUGCUUCUCUCACGAUGGCUGAACAAGACACUGAUUUAUGAGCCUUUCAGGAUGUUGCAAGGAAUACCUUUAUUGUUAAAUUCCUUCCUCAGAACAAUAGUAUUUGGUUUUGAGCCUGGGGGACUUUUUUCUUCUUAUCCAUUUUAUCUUGAGUCUCAUAAGAAGUUAGACACAAAAAUAAAAUAAUAAAUGUACAAAAA